AAUGGGUGAGCAGAGCAGGUGUCAGUGCAGAGCCACGAGGACUCAGCACGACGACUCAGGCUCACCUCUGCCCGCAGCACCCCCCCACCCAGGAUGCGCAUUAGCAGGAAGCUGGGUCAGGAGCCAGAGCCGGGACUCAGCCCAGAGCCGGGACUCAGCCCAGAGCCGGGACGCAGCCCAGAGCCGGGACUCAGCCCAGAGCCGGGACGCAGCCCAGAGCCGGGACGCAGCCCAGAGCCUCGGUGGAGGCCCCAUCCCGGGAAGCCAGAACCCACUCCUUCCUGCCCUGCCAUGGGAGGACCACCAGGGCUCCGGCUCGAAUCCGCCGAGCUUCUGCUCUCCUGACCACUGCCCACGCCUUGACCUCGGCCCAGGCUCCCUCCGGCUCCAGGAGCCAAGGGUUGCUCUCAGCGCUGCCCGGAAGCCCCUCCAGCUUUCACACUCACUUGGCCCAGGGAUCGACUGCUCUGAACUCGUCAUCCCCCUCCUUGGAGCAUCUGCUCAGAGAACCCACCGCAUUCAGCAAACCGCUGAGUCACCGCAGAGGCUUGGUCGGCUGCAGGUGGAAGACGGCGGGCCCGCGCGUGCCACGGACCAUCAGUUAGUUCCCCAUGACCGCAGAGAUGGGGUCACCUGUAGGCAGCCGGCAAGCGCCCGUCUUCAGAGCAGCCCGGCCACUCCACCCUGCGCUGCUGGGCUGCGGCAGUGCUGGUUUGGCUGAGAUCCGGAGCAGCAGACACGGAAAGAGGGUGGAGCAGUCGGCUCCCCCCAACCGCAUAGCCGAACACCUGCCACAGGCUGUUCUAAGGAACAAGGGAAUUUUUGGCCCAUGGAUUUGGAGGGUCUCAGUCCAAGACUGGGUGGGCGCCGCUGGCUCAGCCAUGUGGGGAGGGCACUGGUGGGGCCGUGUGGAGGGGGACUCGGCCGGCAUGCCAAGGAGGCAGGGAGAGGGGCUGGGCCCAGUCCUCGAUGAGGGCUACCUUCCCAGGGCACAGUCCGGGACCCCAGGACCUCCCCUCGUCCCACCUCCCAGGCACAAGUGCACCCAGCUCCCACCCUCUCAGCACCCCCAGUUUAGGACAUUCUGUAUUCGAGCACCCGCGUCCUGCUCAGCCCACAGCUCAGGGAUUCAGGCUUGCUGAGGGGCAGCGCUGGGGGCAGGGGCUCCUAGGUGAGAACGUGUCCAGCCGCAGCCGGGGCCCCUGCGGCACCCCAGGGCUGGCCAAGGCAACAGCCCCGCUACGCCAAGGCAACAGCCCCGCUGCUGGCUGCCAGUCAGUCCCUGGGGUGAGGGCACCUCCCCGGAGGAGGGGUUGCGGGUGGACAGUGGCCACGGCUUCUGGAGAUAAAGUCCGGGCCCAGGGCACCCAUGGCCCUCAGCCCUUCCACACCCCCACCCCUCCUGGGAGCCCAGAGCCAGGCCUGUUCGCUCUCUCUCUCUCUUCCUUCAUUCUCCUCCCCCAUGCCCGACUGAGAGAGAGCUGGCUCCAGACCCCGAAAGCCUAUGUGUGUGAACAGGUCCUCGGUGGACAGGCUGGGGAGGGGCAUGGGAGGGGGUUUGGGUAGGACGACAGCCAACGGGAGGGCCCUGGAAGGAGCUCCUUGGUCAUAGCUAUGUCCCCUGCCCUGGUCUAGGGACGGCAAUAGGCCAUCCCCUACUUUACCGGGCAAAGGGCUGAGGGUGACCCCUGAGGGACGGGCGGGGUGAGAGGAUGCAGACCGCUGAGGCCGCAGGGCCCCAUGGAAGAGCCCAGACUUGGGGCAGCCACAGGCCCACUCCUGACUGGCACUGACUCGGGUUCCAGCCGGGCUACAAGCUCUCCCCGGCCCAGUGUUAUCCGCUGGGGCACAGUGGAUGAGCCUGGGGGUGGGAAGGAGAAAGCCCUAAGCUGAGGGGGAGCCUGAUUGGCCUGGGGAAAGCCUCGAGGGCAAGCGCCGUUCCCAAGCUGUGCCGGUCCAGUCUUCAACAGCGCCGCCGUGUGGCCGAGAGAAGCACCAGCAGCUGGUGCCGUGCACUUGCUAUUCCCUUUUGGAAGACGGCCUUAUCCCAGAGGAAGAUUCGGGACGUUUUACCCACGGGGCAUGUGGAAACCCAAGUUAUCGAUGGAAGAAUGAAAGCGAUUUGGCCACAUUUACAACGAGUUACGGCGUGUCCUACCGUGUGUGUGUGAUUUGGGGUGUAAGAUAGGUGUGUGUUCUGAAUAGUUUUGGGUUUCUGAAUGCGGACUGAAUUACAGUGCAGGGAGCUGAAUGGGGCUUUGAGGAUUCUCCAUGGAAUCUCUCCCGUUGUUUCUGGAGUGGGCUUUAGAGGAGAGGGGCCAGUUGUCCAAGGUCACACGACAGGUCACCCCGCUGUGCCUGCUUCCACUCCUCACACCUGACCCAGCCAUGGUGCUCUGGUGAAAACCAGGGAGUCGCACGGGUACAGCGCUGCUCGCUGUGCUACACAGCCCACGUGGAGGCUCCCAAACCUGCAACAGUCCCCCAGGCUUUCUGGGUCUUCCAUGAUCUUGACACUUCCGAAGAGGAGUUCGCCAUUUGUUUCUGUGUCAGUUCCAGUUUUGGCUCUAUAAGCAAGCACGUCUUGCCAGCGCUUCUGUGGAUAAACUCAAACGGGCCCCCACACACCCAUGUCCUCCGAGUGCGCAUGUGUGUGUGUGGGAGGGUGUAUGCAAAUAUCUGGUCACGAGAAUGCCCACUGUGCAUGGAUGUUAUAACUUACAUAUGUGUGCGUAUAAAAUAAAAUAAAUAUUUAAGAGGCA
ensembl:lncRNA